rnacentral:tRNA from 1 species
UCUAAUGUGGCAGAAAAGUGCAAUAGAUUUAAGCUCUAUGUAUAAGAGGUGAUUUCUCUUCUUUAGAA